rnacentral:rRNA from 1 species
AGAGUUUGAUUCUGGCUCAGAACGAACGCUGGCAGCGUGGAUUAGGCAUGCAAGUCGAACGCAAAUCGGGAUACCCGCAAGGGUAUCUCGACGAGAGUGGCGGAAGGGUGAGGAACACGUGAGCAAUUUACCUUUAAGUUGGGGAUAACCUGCCGAAAGGCGGGCUAAUACCGAAUACGAUGGUUCAACAUAAGUUGGAUUAAUCAAAGGUGGGGAUCUUCGGACCUAUCGCUUAUUGAGAAGCUCGCGUCCCAUCAGCUUUGGUGAGGUAACGGCUCACCAAGGCUUACGGGUAACUGGUCUGAGAGGAUGGUCAGUCACACUGGGACUGAGACACUGCCCAGACUCCUACGGGAGGCUGCAGUCGAGGAUCAUUCGCAAUGCGCGAAAGCGUGACGAUGCGACGCUGCGUGGAGGAUGAAGGCCUUCGGGUCGUAAACUCCUGUCAUUCGGGAACAAUAACAAGAAGGUGAAUAGCCUUUUUGGAUGAUAGUACCGGAAGAGGAAGCCACGGCUAACUCUGUGCCAGCAGCCGCGGUAAUACAGAGGUGGCGAGCGUUGUUCGGAUUUACUGGGCGUAAAGGGUGCGUAGGUGGUAUUGUAUGUCGGAUGUGAAAGCUCACCGCUCAACGGUGAAAUGGCAUUCGAAACUGCAGUACUUGAGUGCAGAAGAGGAGAGCGGAAUUCUUGGUGUAGCGGUGGAAUGCGUUGAGAUCAAGAAGAACACCGGUGGCGUAGGCGGCUCUCUGGUAUGCAACUGACACUGAGGCACGAAAGUUGGGGGAGCAAACAGGAUUAGAUACCCUGGUAGUCCCAACCUUAAACGGUGUACAUUUGGUGUGGGGAGAUUGACCCUCUCCGUGCCGGAGCUAACGCGUUAAAUGUACCGCCUGGGGAGUACGGUCGCAAGAUUAAAACUCAAAGAAAUUGACGGGGGCCCGCACAAGCGGAGGAGCAUGUGGCUUAAUUCGAUGCUACGCGAAGAACCUUACCAGGGCUUGACAUGCAGCUGCACGUCCGCCGAAAAGCGGAUUCCUUCGAGGGUGCUGCACAGGUGCUGCAUGGCUGUCGUCAGUUCGUGCCGUGAGGUGUUGGGUUAAGUCCCGCAACGAACGCAACCCCUGUGGCUAGUUGCAAACAAUGGUGAUAAAUCAUUGUGCACUCUAGUCAGACUGCCCGUGAUAAGCGGGAGGAAGGUGGGGAUGACGUCAAGUCAGUAUGGCCCUUACGCCCUGGGCUGCACACGUGCUACAAUGGUCGGUACAGAGGGAAGCGAAACCGCGAGGCGAAGCAAAUCCCAUAAAACCUGCCCCAGUUCGGAUUGAAGUCUGAAACUCGACUUCAUGAAGUUGGAUUCGCUAGUAAUGGCGCAUCAGCUACGGCGCCGUGAAUACGUUCCCGGGCCUUGUACACACCGCCCGUCACAUCAUGAAAGCCGUCUGCACCCGAAGUCGCUGAUUCAACCCGCAAGGGAGAUAAGUGCCCAAGGUGUGGGUGGUGAUUGGGAUGAAGUCGUAACAAGGUA